rnacentral:rRNA from 1 species
CCUACGGGACGCAGCAGUGAGGGAUAUUGGGCAAUGGGGGAAACCCUGAUGCAGCGACGCCGCGUGAGUGAAGAAGUAAUUCGUUAUGUAAAGCUCUAUCAGCAGGGAAGAAAAUGACGGUACCUGAGUAAGAAGCCCCGGCUAACUACGUGCCAGCAGCCGCGGUAAUACGUAGGGGGCAAGCGUCAUCCGGAUUUACUGGGUGUAAAGGGAGCGUAGACGGAUAAGCAAGUCUGAUGUGAAAAUCCGGGGCCCAACCCCGGAAUUGCAUUGGAAACUGCAUAUCUAGAGUGUCGGAGAGGCAA